AAAAACAUGUCUAUAUGAGUAUAAAAUAUAAAGUCUAGCCUGCCCACUGAGUAUUUAAAGGGCUGCGGUAAUUUGACCGUGCAAAGGUAGCAUAAUCAGUAGUCUUUUAAUUGAAGGCUUGAAUGAACGGUUGGAUGAGAGAGAAGCUGUCUCUUUUAUAAGUUAAAAUUUGACUUUUAAGUGAAAAGGCUUAAAUUGUAUAAAGGGACGAUAAGACCCUAUAAAACUUUAUAAGAGAUUUAUUUUAUUUUUAAAUUCUUCUUUAAAAAUUGUGAAGUAUUUCUCUUAUUUUGUUGGGGCGACAUUGAUAUAAGCUGUAACUGUUUAAAUAAAAACUAUAAUUAUCAUUAUUGUUUGAUCCUUCUUUGUGGAUAAAAAGACUAAGUUACUUUAGGGAUAACAGCGUAAUUUUUUUUGAGAGUUCUUAUCGAAGAAAAUAGUUGCGACCUCGAUGUUGAAUUAAAAUUUCAGGCAAGUGUAGCCGCUUGUUAUGUGGGUCUGUUCGACCUUUAAAAUUUUACAUGAUUUGAGUUCGAACC
rnacentral:rRNA from 1 species